rnacentral:rRNA from 1 species
UGGGGAAUAUUGCACAAUGGAGGGAACUCUGAUGCAGCGACGCCGCGUGAACGAAGAAGGCUUUCGAGUCGUAAAGUUCUUUUAUAUGGGAAGAUAAUGACGGUACCACAAGAAAAAGCCCCGGCUAACUACGUGCCAGCAGCCGCGGUAAUACGUAGGGGGCUAGCGUUGUCCGGAAUCACUGGGCGUAAAGGGUUCGCAGGCGGAAAUGCAAGUCAGGUGUAAAAGGCAGUAGCUUAACUACUGUAAGCAUUUGAAACUGCAUAUCUUGAGAAGAGUAGAGGUAAGUGGAAUUUUUAGUGUAGCGGUGAAAUGCGUAGAUAUUAAAAAGAAUACCGGUGGCGAAGGCGGCUUACUGGGCUCAUUCUGACGCUGAGGAACGAAAGCGUGGGUAGCAAACAGG